UGCCUGCUUCUGUAUGAUAUGUUUGAUAUUGGGUUGUUUAAUUAGGAGCCAACUAAAUGUCAAACAUAUUCUUACAGCAGUUGGCA
rfam:Loxodonta africana unplaced genomic scaffold scaffold_33, whole genome shotgun sequence.